CAAUCCUCUUUCAGAGCUCCUAUCGACAAGAGGGUUUACGACCUCGAUGUUGGAUCAGGACAUCCUAAUGGUGCAGCCGCUAUUAAGGGUUCGUUUGUUCAACGAUUAAAGUCCUACG
rnacentral:rRNA from 1 species